UCGAAUCACCUUAUCUUACAACUGCAGGCUAGGUAAGCAAAUAUACAUCAAAUUCUGGAUCCAAACUACAGUACUGGUAGCUGUUGCUUAUGAUUUUGGUCCCUCUAUCUCUAUGUAUAUUGCUGUCUCUAAAAGAAUCAAGAAUUCCCCAAUCAGAGAUUUAACAACAGGAUUGAGCCAUUACACAUACAUCCCCCAGACCAUUAGAAACAGCUCCUUGUAGUACACGUUUUACAAUUAUCCGACUUUUGUAUUGUUAUAAAUCAACGAACCUUGUCGAGUUCCAGUAUGAAUACCCAGGACAGAAUUUACUUUACCCUUGUAUCUGGAGCAGCAGCAUUGUCCUAGCAUUGGAUCCCCCACCAUUGUCACCAAAUGAAUGAGGUUCCUAUGCCAGAUUUCGUGUCAAAAAAUCAUUAACAGCAAGACUGGCAUCUCCAUGUGACACAGCAUCUUCAGGUUCUGGCAUAUAGAGAGUUGACACAGAUGCCUUUGCAUCAAACUGCAUCUCUCCAGGAUUAUCGGAAGUGAGGCAUGCGCCAUGGGCUUUCAACCAUUCCACACAAUCCUCAACACCAUCUGUGUCCUCACUUUCUUCACUUGUGAAGCCUAAAACUUGGGCAAUGUAGGUGACCGGAACAGUAGGCCGAUUCGAGCGAGACAUACAUCUAACUGCCGCAUAUCGCAUUUUAUCAGCAUAUAGAUCCAUAAGACACGUGUUAAGAUUAGGAGCUGUCUUGUAUAAUCUG
rnacentral:misc_RNA from 1 species